rnacentral:rRNA from 1 species
UACGAAGGGUGCUAGCGUUGUUCGGAUUUACUGGGCGUAAAGCGUGCGUAGGUGGCUUUACAAGUCAGGGGUGAAAUCCUGGGGCUCAACCCCAGAAUUGCCUUUGAAACUGGUCGGCUAGAGUGCGGGAGAGGAGAGUGGAAUUCCUGGUGUAGCGGUGAAAUGCGCAGAUAUCAGGAAGAACACCCGUGGCGAAGGCGGCUCUCUGGAACGCAACUGACGCUGAGACGCGAAAGCGUGGGGAGCAAACAGG